UAUUGCAUUCUUUUGGAGUGCAGAAUACGUUGUUCCGAAAAAAAUAUAACUUAUACCUUGKGCAGACUAGGAUUGCACUCGGCACGAUGAAAUGUGUGGAAUGUACGUACGAAGGUAGAACUAGAAAAACCGAUGGAAAGAUAGCUCGCUUGUGUCUUUGCCUACUAUUGGUGUUUUGUGUGGUUGGUUUGCUGUUGAGCACCGUGUUUAUCUAUCUACAUAUCAACAGCCGUMUCUCUCGUCUUGAAGGAAAACUGUUGGGCUUUACUUCGACUGUUGUACCAACGACAAAUAUAGAAGUACGACGAUAAUAAACGACAAAAAUGUGGAAAUUAAUAGUUACCAGAAAAGUGACAAAAAGGGCAGAAUCGGACUCGUACAUUCUAUUAGGAAAACUGGCCUUCRACUCUAAAGCUAAACACCAGCAAAGAACCACGAGAUAAAGGCACGACUAAGGAAACAUAGAGAAAUCAAUCUCCGAAAUAUGGACAAACUCGUUCUCACUCUCCACAGUCUGUAGAUCCAUGUCGUAAUAAUCGAAUUCUUCAUCUUCCGAACUGGAAUCCCUACCUAACAAAUCCCUUGUCUUGUAUCCUCCUCGGUCAGCCUGAUACCACGAACUCGUUGGAUCCUGUACAUGCUUAUCCCCAUCGUCCGAAUCUGGAGAAUCGAUCUGCCAUGAAGUAUUUGUAUGGUCUUGUUGUAAAACGUCCUGUGAGGCGAUUUCUAUAUUUUUAGUCUUCUUUUCAAUGGAGUCUUCUUUGGAUGCGUUAGUUAACGCUUCAUUAUUGCAUUUGAUAUAUUUAUCAUCUACAUUCUGAUUGAAGCUUGUUUCGAGCUUCUUGUUUUUUUUACUUUGUGAGGACUCUUCGUUUAAAUCUGUCGAUGACAAUUCCACUAAUGGCCGAUGAGAUGCUUCUUUUUCAUCCCCAUCCACCUUGGUCGUGUCACCAUGUUCAUGUUCCAGAUAUUCCAGUUUAGCACGUUUCACUUCUGUUUCGGAUUCACUUCCUUCAUCUUCAGAGGAGCUCGAGUAAGAACCGACUAAUGAUGUUGCUUGAUGUUGCCUUUCAUUUGACGUGAGCUCUUUGGACUCAUCGUCUGUUCUGUCUGGUUCCGUGUGGGAUCUAACUGCUUGACGAACCCAGCAUCCCACACGGAAAUAAUCCUACCACACAUGCGCACAAGAAGAAAAAUAGUUAUAAGUAUUUGGUGUAAUAUUAUAGAAUAAAAUAAAUGUGUUACUUGGUGUCA